UUUGAUCCUGGCUCAGAACGAACGCUGGCGGCGUGGAUAAGACAUGCAAGUCGGACGAGACUUUUCGUUGUAGCAAUACGAUGGAAAGUUUAGUGGCGAACGGGUGCUUAACACGUGGGCAACCUGCCAAGAAGUGGGGGAUAGCUCGCCGAAAGGCGAAUUAAUACCGCAUGUGAUUAGAGAGGACAUCCUUUCGAAAUUAAAGUCGGGGCAACCUGACGCUUUUUGUGGGGCCCGCGGCCUAUCAGCUAGUUGGUGUGGUAACGGCUCACCAAGGCUUUGACGGGUAGCUGGUCUGAGAGGACGACCAGCCACACUGGGACUGAGACACGGCCCAGACACCUACGGGUGGCAGCAGUCGAGAAUUUUUGACAAUGGGGGAAACCCUGAUCGAGCG
rnacentral:rRNA from 1 species